rnacentral:rRNA from 1 species
AACGAACGCUGGCGGCAGGCCUAACACAUGCAAGUCGAACGCUCCAGCAAUGGAGAGUGGCAGACGGGUGAGUAACGCGUGGGAACCUACCCUUUGGUUCGGAAUAGCCCAGGGAAACUUGGGGUAAUACCGGAUAAGCCCUUCGGGGGAAAGAUUUAUCGCCAAUGGAUGGGCCCGCGUCGGAUUAGCAAGUUGGCGGAGAAACGGCCUACCAAGGCGACGAUCCGUAGCUGGACUGAGAGGAUGAUCAGCCACACUGGGACUGAGACACGGCCCAGACUCCUACGGGAGGCAGCAGUGGGGAAUAUUGGAAUAUGGGCGCAAGCCUGGUCCAGCCAUGCCGCGUGAGUGACGAAGGUCUUCGGAUUGUAAAGCUAUUUUGGCGGGGACGAUAAUGACGGUACCCGCAGAAUAAGCCCCGGCUAACUUCGUGCCAGCCGCCGCCGUAACAC